rnacentral:ncRNA from 2 species
AUGAUCAUAAAUAACUAUCCUUGUAUAAUAUCAGUUACAUGGCCUGAUAGUCUCUACCUGACAGCCGUUAAAAUGUCAGACUACAAGGAAGUAUGAAAAGAUA